rnacentral:rRNA from 1 species
UACGGGGGGAGCAAGCGUUGUUCGGAUUUACUGGGCGUAAAGGGCGCGUAGGCGGCGCAACAAGUCACUUGUGAAAUCUCCGGGCUUAACUCGGAAAGGUCAAGUGAUACUGUUGUGCUAGAGUGCGGAAGGGGCAACUGGAAUUCUCGGUGUAGCGGUGAAAUGCGUAGAUAUCGAGAGGAACACCUGCGGCGAAGGCGGCAUCCUGGACCGGUAUUGACGCUGAGGCGCGAAAGCUAGGGGAGCAAACGGG